AUACGUAGAUGGCAAGCGUUAUCCGGAAUUACUGGGCUUAAAGGGUGCGUAGGCGGUUGUUUAAGUCAGUUGUGAAAAUUCCGGGCUCAACCUUGAAAUUGCAGUUGAUACUGGACGACUUGAGUGCAGUAGAUGUAGGCGGAAUUCGUAGUGUAGCGGUGAAAUGCUUAGAUAUCAGGAAGAACACCAAUUGCGAAGGCAGCUUUCUGGACUGUAACUGACGCUGAUGCUCGAAAGCGUGGGGAGCGAACAGGAUUAGAUACCCUGGUAGUCCACGCUGUAAACGAUGAAUGCUAGGUGUGUGGUGUAAAAGGUACGCGGCGAAGUUAAAGCAAUAAGCAUUCCGCCUGGGGAGUACGGCGGCAAGGGUGA
rnacentral:rRNA from 1 species